GGGGAUUUAGCUCAGUGGUAGAGCGCUUGCCUAGCAAGUGCAAGGCCCUGGGUUCGGUCCCCAGCUCUGGAAAAAAAAAAAAAAGAGCCAGAUGUGGAACACACACCUAUAAUUAACAGUUCAGCUGUGAAUUUGAGACCAGCCAGGGCUGCAAAGGGAGUAUGAGAUAUGCUACAUUACAUAGAAAAAAAUCCUCAGGCUCUCAGAGGGUGAGAGACCUGAGAGCUGCAUCUCAGUUGAGUGCUUGCCUAGCAUGCAUGAAGCCCAGGUUCAACCGCUACCACUGUAAAAAGUUAUGUGUGCACACUAGGGAUGUAGGGGGUAAGAGGGUCAGAAAUUCAAGGUCUUCUUCAGUUACAUAGUGACUUUGAGACCAGACUCGGUUACACAAGACAGUAUCUCAAAAACCUAAAUUAAUAAUAAUAAUCAUCAUCAUCAUCAUCAUCAUCAUCAUCAUCAUCAUCAUCAUCAUCAUAACAUAAUACCAGAGUGGUACCUCCCUGUGUCAUAGCUGCCAGGAAUAGAGGCAGAAGGAUCAGGAAUUCAAGACCUGCUCCAAAAGAGUGGGGGGAUGUGGGGCUGACACCCCAACUCCUUGUUCUCUGAACCAAGGGCAGGGUCCCCUACCCAAAAGGAGCUGAGACCCAAGCAGCUUAUUUACUGGGAGAGGGAGACAGACUGACAGCCAUGGAUGGGCUGGAGAAACAGUCCCUUUUUAGAAGGUAGUACCAGCACCCUGGCCGAAUGCACGUGGAUAUGAGAUGGGGAGUGAGAGCCUUGGCUGACAGGAUGGGCAGGAGGGGUGGGUAUGGGUCCCUCCUGUGGUUGGAGCGCCCCUCCACUGUCCUCCCCACCCACCAAUCUUCACUUUGGUUUGUUUUCUAACAGUUCUGUUAAAUAUUUUUGAUGGUGUUAAAAAAAAAAAAAAAGACCUGCUUCAGCUGUAUAACAGGUUUGAGAUACUGAGUUAUAUGAGACCCUGUUUGAGAUAAAGAAAAAUAAUCACAACAACCGCCCCAAGAAAACCAAAACCCUGAAACGAGAACUAAGUGUCAAAAAAGGAGAAGUAUUUAAGAUAAGCUAUGGUGUGUAUGUGUGUGUGCGUGUGUGUGUGUGUGUGUGUGUGUGAGAGAGAGAGAGAGAGAGAGAGAGAGAGAGAGAAAGAGAGACAGAGACAGAGAGACAGAGAGACAAAGAGAAACCAGGAUUGAACCUAGGACCUUGUAAUGUACCAGACAAACACCUCAACCUUUACCUAUUUUUGUUUUGAGACAUUAUUUUGCUAAAUUGCUGAGGCUGGCCUUGGACUCACAGUAUAUCCAAGGCAGGACUUGAAUUUUUUUUGUCCUUAUGCCUGAGCCUCCUCAAAAGCUCGAAACACAGGCAAAUGCUGUCACACCCUGCUAAACCACAGUUUAUAGCUGUGAGAAAAAGAUUUAGGGAGGGCUGCGUGUCCAAUUUUUCUAAUCGUCCAUUAGAUGGCGCCAUUGUCAAAUUUCUGUAAUUUUAAAAGUUCCGGGAUGGAACCACACCUUUGCCUUUUAUUGUCUUGUUUGGAGUUUGUCUUGUUUUUCUCUGGAGUCACUGGGAAGGAAUGGGGGUGGGGGGGCGGAGGAGGAUAAACUAAAGCCAUCUAGUCCUGGGUUGAAAAGUACCUGGAAGACUGCCACAUAGAGCAAGUUCCUGCUUGUCUCUGGUGGGGACAUUGUCAGCUAUUCUUCAGCCAUCUUGAAUUUGGAGCAAACUGAGGUCUUUUGUUACCUCUUCAUCGGCAGCUCCUGUUCGACCUUUACUUCAUAAACCUCAUUAUUAAAAGAUUUUAUCCAAAAUGCCAUUGUCAUAGUGGUAGAUGACUGAGACCCCAGCAUUUGGAGGACAGCUAUGGGAGGAUCCAGAAUUCAAGACCAGCUUAGGUUAUAUAUAAAAGACUUCGGGGGCUGGGGAUUUAGCUCAGUGGUAGAGCGCUUACCUAGGAAGCGCAAGGCCCUGGGUUCGGUCCCCAGCUCCGAAAAAAAGAACCAAAAAAAUAAAUAAAUAAAUAAAAUAAAAUAAAAGACUUCUUCCUUCCUUCUUUCCUUUCCUUCCUUCCUCCCUCCCUCCCUCUCUCCCUUCUUUUGUCUUCCUUCCUUCCUUCCUUCCUUCCUUCCUAGAUAGGGUUUCUCUGUGUAGCUUUGGCUGUCCUGGAACUCGCCCUGAAGACCAAGCUUGUUAGAAAGGCAGCUUGUUUCUGGACAGAUCACAACAGGCCAGCACAGUCCCAUGAGAAGAGAUUUUUUUUUUCUUAUUGCAUGGGGGUGGGAAGGGGAAGCGAGGAAGAAAAGAGGAAAAAAAGAGGAAAAGAAGUCGAGGAGUCAGGGCCUCAGUCUUUUAUUCGUGCCUUAAUGUAGAUGCCAGGUACUGACACGCACAGGUGAGGCGUAAGCCGGGAAUGUGUGGCGGUUGACGUGGCCAAAGACGAGAGCCCUUGCCGCCUAGGGAGGAGGUCAUGGCUGGAUUGGAGGCUGGCUGUAAAGCCGUUUCUAAUGCUAACGAAGCUGUUCUCAAAUUCAUAGAGAUCUACCUGCCUCUGCCUCCCAUGUAUUGGGGAUUAAAGGCGUGAGCCACCACCACUUGGCUUGUAUUUUUCUAUAUAUAUUUUUUUUUUGG
ensembl:lncRNA